GACGAACGCUGGCGGCGUGCUUAACACAUGCAAGUCGAACGGAAAGGCCCUGCUUUUGUGGGGUGCUCGAGUGGCGAACGGGUGAGUAACACGUGAGUAACCUGCCCUUGACUUUGGGAUAACUUCAGGAAACUGGGGCUAAUACCGGAUAGGAGAUCCUGCUGCAUGGUGGGGGUUGGAAAGUUUCGGCGGUUGGGGAUGGACGCGCGGCUUAUCAGCUUGUUGGUGGGGUAGUGGCUUACCAAGGCUGUGACGGGUAGCCGGCCUGGGAGGGUGACCGGCCACAUGGGGACUGAGGGACGGCCCAGACUCCUACGGGAGGCAGUAGUGGGGAAUAUUGCACAGUGGGCGGAAGCCUGAUGCAGCGACUCCGCGUGCGGGAUGACGGCCUUCGGGUUGUAAACCGCUUUCGCCGGUGACGAAGCGUGAGUGACGGUAAUGGGUAAAGAAGCACCGGCUAACUACGUG
rnacentral:rRNA from 1 species